rnacentral:lncRNA from 1 species
UAGCCCUGGCGAUUUGUUUACUUUUAGUACCUCCAUGAAUUCCUGAUAAGUAGGUGCGCUUUCCUCUUCAUCUCUGUUAUCUCUUAUAUCCUAAUCCUCUGAACCAGCCUUGUUGUUUUUGUAUAGGUCCGUGAAAUGUUUUUCCCAAUCUUUUUUGUGACAGUUUUUUUGGUACUGUAUUGUAAUCUGAAACCCAAUACUUCAGUCAAAAUGAGAUGCCUAGGACUUCUACUAAAUCUGUUUCAGUCACUCGACGAAUUUCCAAUACCAUAUCCUGUAUUUUCCUACGAUUUCUGGUUUCUGCUGUUUUUGGACGUCCUUGACGUGGAUUAUCUUCAAGGCUUAUAAGACCACGUUUAAAUUCAACAACCAAUCUUUCUGCUGUAGGUACUAAUUGAAGGCGAAGAAUCCUUAUACACUUUCAACAUUCGUUAAUAAAUUUCAUUUGCUUUUAAACCUCCCAAAAA